rnacentral:rRNA from 1 species
UUGAGUGAGUGGCGAACUGGUGAGUAACACGUGGGAAACCUGCCCAGAAGCGGGGGAUAACACCUGGAAACAGAUGCUAAUACCGCAUAACAACUUGGACCGCAUGGUCCGAGUUUGAAAGAUGGCUUCGGCUAUCACUUUUGGAUGGUCCCGCGGCGUAUUAGCUAGAUGGUGGGGUAACGGCUCACCAUGGCAAUGAUACGUAGCCGACCUGAGAGGGUAAUCGGCCACAUUGGGACUGAGACACGGCCCAAACUCCUACGGGAGGCAGCAGUAGGGAAUCUUCCACAAUGGACGAAAGUCUGAUGGAGCAACGCCGCGUGAGUGAAGAAGGGUUUCGGCUCGUAAAACUCUGUUGUUAAAGAAGAACAUAUCUGAGAGUAACUGUUCAGGUAUUGACGGUAUUUAACCAGAAAGCCACGGCUAACUACGUGCCAGCAGCCGCGGUAAUACGUAGGUGGCAAGCGUUGUCCGGAUUUAUUGGGCGUAAAGCGAGCGCAGGCGGUUUUUUAAGUCUGAUGUGAAAGCCUUCGGCUCAACCGAAGAAGUGCAUCGGAAACUGGGAAACUUGAGUGCAGAAGAGGACAGUGGAACUCCAUGUGUAGCGGUGAAAUGCGUAGAUAUAUGGAAGAACACCAGUGGCGAAGGCGGCUGUCUGGUCUGUAACUGACGCUGAGGCUCGAAAGUAUGGGUAGCAAACAGGAUUAGAUACCCUGGUAGUCCAUACCGUAAACGAUGAAUGCUAAGUGUUGGAGGGUUUCCGCCCUUCAGUGCUGCAGCUAACGCAUUAAGCAUUCCGCCUGGGGAGUACGGCCGCAAGGCUGAAACUCAAAGGAAUUGACGGGGGCCCGCACAAGCGGUGGAGCAUGUGGUUUAAUUCGAAGCUACGCGAAGAACCUUACCAGGUCUUGACAUACUAUGCAAAUCUAAGAGAUUAGACGUUCCCUUCGGGGACAUGGAUACAGGUGGUGCAUGGUUGUCGUCAGCUCGUGUCGUGAGAUGUUGGGUUAAGUCCCGCAACGAGCGCAACCCUUAUUAUCAGUUGCCAGCAUUAAGUUGGGCACUCUGGUGAGACUGCCGGUGACAAACCGGAGGAAGGUGGGGAUGACGUCAAAUCAUCAUGCCCCUUAUGACCUGGGCUACACACGUGCUACAAUGGAUGGUACAACGAGUUGCGAACUCGCGAGAGUAAGCUAAUCUCUUAAAGCCAUUCUCAGUUCGGAUUGUAGGCUGCAACUCGCCUACAUGAAGUCGGAAUCGC